rnacentral:lncRNA from 1 species
CCACCCCACAGGGACUCCAGGCACACUGCCACUAAUGUCUGGCCCCUCCCCUCCUCUUCCUGCUCCGUCUUCUCCCCUCUCAUCUCCCCUGAGGGCUUCUCCAGCCUCUAUGGUUUUCCUAGCCCCUUACUCUCCCCAACAUCCAGCCCUGCCUCACAGUCCCCUAAGACCCCCCUCCUUGUCCUCUUAGCACCACCAGCCCUGAAGCUGUCUGUGAACGAAACUCUGGUGGUGAACCCUGGGGAGAAUGUGACGGUGCAGUGUCUGCUGACAGGCGGUGAUCCCCUCCCCCAGCUGCAGUGGUCCCAUGGGCCUGGCCCACUGCCCCUAAAUGAUACAAAACUUUGAGCACAGUCUAAAGAAGUAUAAACAUUUUUCUUAACGUGCUUUUAUUGAGUCCCUGUUAAUAUGCCAGGCACUGUGCUAGGUCCUGGGGUAGAGCGGUGGGCAAAACAGGCUCUGCCCUCAUAGAGCUUAGGAGGAAAGGCAAACACGUUUCAGAUAGUCUCACAAAUAAAUAUAUCAUUGCAAACUGUGAUACAUGAGAGCCUGGAAAGAGUUCCCUGAGGGCAGUGCAGCCUCAAAGGGAGAGACUACUCUUUAGCCUGUACGGUGUGUAGAGGGCUUGGGAGUUGGAAUGUCUUAGUAGAACUAGAGCAGGGGCCCAGGGCUGUUUCCUCCAUUUGGCUCAUAGGCCUGAUGUCUAGGGCAUGGAAGUGUCUUAAGGGCCCGGAA